GACAGAGGGUGCAAACGUUGUUCGGAAUUACUGGGCGUAAAGCGCGUGUAGGGCUGCUCGGAAAGUCGGAUGUGAAAGCCCUGGGCUCAACCUAGGAAGUGCAUUCGAAACUUCCGAGCUGGAGUGCUGGAGAGGAGGCGGAAUUCUCGGUGUAGAGGUGAAAUUCGUAGAUAUCGAGAGGAACACCCGGUGGGCGGAAAG
rnacentral:rRNA from 1 species